GCGCCUGUAGCUCAAUGGAUAGAGCGGAUGGCUUCGGACCAUCAGGUUGCGGGUUCAACUCCUGCCAGGCGCG
rfam:Microgenomates (Gottesmanbacteria) bacterium GW2011_GWA2_47_9 TY16_C0007, whole genome shotgun sequence.